rnacentral:rRNA from 1 species
GGCCUAACACAUGCAAGUCGAGGGGUAACAGGGAGUGCUUGCACUCAGCUGACGACCGGCGCACGGGUGCGUAACGCGUAUGCAAUCUACCUCUUACUGAGGGAUAGCCCAUGGAAACGUGGAUUAAUACCUCAUAGUAUUAUAGACUGGCCUCAGUUUAUGAUUAAAGGUUACGGUAAGAGAUGAGCAUGCGUCCUAUUAGCUAGAUGGUAAGGUAACGGCUUACCAUGGCUACGAUAGGUAGGGGUCCUGAGAGGGAGAUCCCCCACACUGGUACUGAGACACGGACCAGACUCCUACGGGAGGCAGCAG